rnacentral:rRNA from 1 species
AGUGAACGCUGGCGGUAGGCCUAACACAUGCAAGUCGAACGGCAGCACAGUAAGAGCUUGCUCUUACGGUUGGCGAGUGGCGGACGGGUGAGGAAUACAUCGGAAUCUACUUUUUCGUGGGGGAUAACGUAGGGAAACUUACGCUAAUACCGCAUACGACCUACGGGUGAAAGCAGGGGAUCUUCGGACCUUGCGCGAUUGAAUGAGCCGAUGUCGGAUUAGCUAGUUGGCGGGGUAAAGGCCCACCAAGGCGACGAUCCGUAGCUGAUCUGAGAGGAUGAUCAGCCACACUGGAACUGAGACACGGUCCAGACUCCUACGGGAGGCAGCAGUGGGGAAUAUUGGACAAUGGGCGCAAGCCUGAUCCAGCCAUACCGCGUGGGUGAAGAAGGCCUUCGGGUUGUAAAGCCCUUUUGUUGGGAAAGAAAAGCAGCAGGUUAAUACCCCGCUGUUCUGACGGUACCCAAAGAAUAAGCACCGGCUAACUUCGUG